AUUGACUAAGGGAACACCCCAUGUUCAGAAGAUGGACUUCAGCAUCCUGUUCUUGAGAGACUACUUGUAGUUGUGGGAGAAUCUUCUGUGGAGGAAAUCAGCCAACUGAUUCUGAAUGUCAGAACGAGUCCCAGAUGACUGAAAAAGCAGAUGAUUAACCUGAUGUGGCCCCAAACCAGAUCCUGUGAAGAAUCUUGUACCAGCCUAUCAUCCAGAGCAAGUACAGCAGACAUUAGCGAGCAAUUUUCCUCUAGAAGAACAUAUUCUCAUUCCUGACCUGGAGGGACAAACUGUAGAGGUAAGAGUAAUUCAUUCUUUUUUUCCCCAUUCACUGCUUUAUUUAUCU